GACGGAGGGGGCUAGCGUUGUUCGGAAUUACUGGGCGUAAAGGGCGCGCAGGCGGCUGCUCAAGUCAGGCGUGAAAGGCCUGGGCUCAACCCGGGAAUUGCGCUUGAGACUGGGCUGGCUUGAGUGCGGGAGAGGAUGGUGGAAUUCCCAGUGUAGAGGUGAAAUUCGUAGAUAUUGGGAAGAACACCGGUGGCGAAGGCGGCCAUCUGGACCGCAACUGACGCUGAGGCGCGAAAGCGUGGGGAGCAAACAGG
rnacentral:rRNA from 1 species